GAUGAACGCUGGCGGCGUGCCUAAUACAUGCAAGUCGAGCGAAUGGAUUAAGAGCUUGCUCUUAUGAAGUUAGCGGCGGACGGGUGAGUAACACGUGGGUAACCUGCCCAUAAGACUGGGAUAACUCCGAGAAACCGGGGCUAAUACCGGAUAACAUUUUGAACCGCAUGGUUCGAAAUUGAAAGGCGGCUUCGGCUGUCACUUAUGGAUGGACCCGCGUCGCAUUAGCUAGUUGGUGAGGUAACGGCUCACCAAGGCAACGAUGCGUAGCCGACCUGGAGAGGUGAUCGGCCACACUGGGACUGAGAAACGGCCCAGACUCCUACGGGAGGCAGCAGUAGGGAAUCUUCCGCAAUGGACGAAAGUCUGGCGGAGCAACGCCGCGGGAGUGAUGAAGGCUUUCGGGUCGUAAAACUCUGUUGUUAGGGAAGAACAAGUGCUAGUUGAAUAAGCUGGCACCUUGACGGUACCUAACCAGAAAGCCACGGCUAACUACGUGCCAGCAGCCGCGGUAA
rnacentral:rRNA from 1 species